rnacentral:rRNA from 1 species
GUCUACAGCCAUGCCACCCUGAAUGUGCCCGAUCUCGUCCGAUCUCAGAAGCUAAGCAAGGUCGGGCAACAUUUCCUUUGAGAUGCACUUACCAGGUGUUAUAGGCA